CGAUGGUCAACCCAUUCAUUCAACAGAUGUCUGCAGAGCAGCUGCUAUGUUCCAGAAUGUGGGCCUGAAUGAGACAGGCAAGACCUCUGCCAACAUGGACCUCACAGUCUCGUCGGAGAGCCAACCAAUAAACAGGUGUUUUGGCCUUCAUUAGCUGCAUCAAGGGUCUGUCCUCCCAGAGCCCAGCUCUCUGGAGGGUGAAGCGACUGACAACUUCUUCCAGUUCUGGGCCGAACCCUGCCUCAACUAUCUCGCACUGCACUGCAGACCCACCCACUGGUGGAAGAGAAGGCUCUGAUAAGGGAAAAAAGACAAUAUCUCCAAGUGUUUCAAGUACAAGUGCUAGACCCCGUGUGUUCUCUUCUAACAAAGGCCAGCAGAGAAGAAGAUGCCGGUGAUUUGUUGGUCUGACUUUACCUAUUUGAAAAAUGCCCUCCAUGCUUCAACAUGACACUCUCGAGCAUUUCCUAUCCUCUUGACAGAUCCCAGAAAAUUCACAAAGCUGCGGACAUUAUUGCCCGAGAUAACUGGGAAGUGGUGUAUUCGUGGCGGCACAAAUAGGGAAAGAAAAUGAAUUGUUUGAAAAAAAAAUGCAUGGGCACAUAGGAAGACAUUUAUGCACAGAUUUAUAAGUUCCUAUAAAUGCCACUUCUAGAAUAUUCAUCUCAAUCCAGAGCCGUUUCUUUUUCUGAAAAGUAAUUCUUAAUAAAGAUUCCAUCACCCUCGGUAAACCUUCAAGUAUUUCUUUCAUAUCUUACACGAGAGGAUGCUUCUUUCUCAGUCAGGACUGCUGGUGUCUUGGUCCCCUGCUGGAGGGGUGAAGUUUACUGCUUGCUCCUUUUGUGUGAAGGGAAAAUAAAAGUGGGAUUCUCUUU